GACGGGGGGGGGCAAGUGUUCUUCGGAAUGACUGGGCGUAAAGGGCACGUAGGCGGUGAAUCGGGUUGAAAGUGAAAGUCGCCAAAAAAGUGGCGGAAUGCUCUCGAAACCAAUUCACUUGAGUGAGACAGAGGAGAGUGGAAUUUCGUGUGUAGGGGGUGAAAUCCGUAGAUCUACGAAGGAACGCCAAAAGCGAAGGCAGCUCUCUGGGUCUCUACCGACGCUGGGGUGCGAAAGCAUGGGGGAGCGAACAGG
rnacentral:rRNA from 1 species